UGAGAUCAUGCUUCAUAAAACACCUGGUUCUUUGUGUAUCUGUCACACAAGGGAUAACCAAUAUGACUAUUUGGUUACAUUUGGCUUUUGUUGCUUAGUUUAUUCUUACAUAGAUGGGCAGCUGGAUGUUAGGGAAAAACAGGGACAGGAAAGAGACUCCAUCCAGUGGCUCUCUGAAGAUUCACCCUUGUUAUCAGUCACUUGGGAUUCUGUUAUCAGAAUUUGGGAUUGCUUGUUAUCACAGCAUUACCUAGUCUACCCUGACUAAUACAAGGGCACUUUGAGAAUCUGAUGGAAGCUCAGGCCACAAGAAAACUGCACAUUCAUGCAAAAUUCAGAACCUUUCAAUUUUAAUGUCUUGAGAUUUCGUUGUGUUUCUAAGAUCCUUGAUGUCCCACAGCCUCCUCUUCUCAGCCUUGGAAUCUGAGGCACCUGGGUUGUAAGUGAUGCUAUGUCAGUGUUCACAAAGGCUCACAAGUCUGCGAAGUGGCCAAGAUGAGCUGACCCUGUCACCAUGGAGCAAGGCCUAUGUGUGCAAAUGAGUCAUGAGCUGAGAGGAAAGAGCUUGAGCCUGAGCUUUUUUUUUUCUUUUCUUUUCUUUUCUUUUUAUGAUGAUUGCUUGAGCCUGAGCUUGUUUGCCAGAUGCUUUCACUAGCCCAAGCUUGUUUUGUGGAUGCUUUCUGCUGCCAGCUACUUUGUAGUCCCUCCUGUGUGACAGCAUCUUGCCAUCAACGGGCUGCAGAAGAAGGGGUGCUUGUUGCUAUUGUGAGCAAACACUGCAUAAACAAUCAGCUCACAUGUGUGUCCCAGAGCGUAUGACCAAUGACCUGGAGAACUCUCAGGCUGUGGGGUGGAGAGAAGGCCAUUCUGAGGUCAACUGAAACCUCACUUGAGGGGCAGUUCCGUAGAUGGGAAUGAGGAGAGAGUCAUGGCCACAGCCACCUGGCCAAGGAGAGAGGCCAUAACUGCCAGACAGAACCAAGGAUGGAGGGACUUCAGCAGCACGAACAAUCCACACUCAGCAUGGGUCACUCUCUGGGACACACAUUUCCCUCUGGCUGAAAGGCUGAGCUGCUCCAGGGCCAACUGUGAGGUCAGACAGCUGCCCAGGGAUGUCUCCAGCCACUCAAGGGAAGAAGAGACCACUCACCUGUAAUUUCAACAGCAACAAAAGACCUGAGGUUCCACCAUCAGAACUUCACGCCCUAAGGAAGAUGCAGCAUUUCCUGUAAAAUGCAAGUGCUCCCAGGCAGAGGUAGCUCCCGAAGCCAUGAUCAAGCCAGAAUUGAUUUCGUGGCUUUCUUUCUCCUCUUCUGGGAUUUUGUGCCCUAUUGCCACAGAAACCCUGGGCCCCUUCCCCAGCUGUCAUGAAGGUGCCUGAGUGAUGGUCAGAGAGAUGACCGGAGGGGCCCACCCGGCCACCGCAGCAGCAGCAGCCAAGGCGGGACUAAGCCUCCACACCCCACAUCUCAGUCGUGGCCAGCCCGGGAUGCCUGCCUCUCCUGCCCUGUGGUGUUGCUGUCCUCAUAUGACCCUUCAGUCCCCCGACAUCUGGACAGGCUUUAGGGACCUGCUUGAGCAGAACAUGGUAGAAGUGAUGGACUGGGGCUUCUGAGGCUAAGCCAUAAGAAGCCUUGAGAAUUUCACCUGGCCCUCACUGUCUCUGGGAGCCCUGAGCCAUGAUAGAAGAAGUCCUUCCUAUAUUGAAUGUCCUUGAGACCUCCAGUACUGGAAAGGGCAUUUGUAGAUGCUCAGACCAACAGUCCAAACUGAGCCCAGUCUGCCAACUUGCCCUGCCAAGGUGUCAGAUGCAUAUGUGAAUGAGACCAUCCUAGACCUGCUGAUAGCCCAUCACCCGGCUGACUGCUACUGAGUAACCUCUGCCAACUUCACGCCGAACACAGAACUGCUGAUUUGAACUCUGCCUGAAUUUCUUGGCCCACAGAACAAUGAGAUAUAAUUAAAAGGCAAUGGUUCAAGCCA
rnacentral:lncRNA from 1 species